UACGUAGGCAGCGAGCGUUGUUCGGAGUUACUGGGCGUAAAGCGUGCGCAGGCGGUUUUUUAAGCCAGAUGUGAAAUCCCCGGGCUUAACCUGGGAACUGCAUUUGGGACUGCAAGGCUUGAGUACGGCAGAGGGGGGUAGAAUUCCUGGUGUAGCAGUGAAAUGCGUAGAUAUCAGGAGGAAUACCGAUGGCGAAGGCAGCCCCCUGGGUCGAUACUGACGCUCAUGCACGAAAGCGUGGGGAGCAAACAGG
rnacentral:rRNA from 1 species